AUAAUAAUAUGCAAUCUUCCAGCUACCAGUACGUAAUAAAUAAAUUGUUGUUAUUAAAUUGUUUCAACUUCAUAUUUCAGAAACAUAAAUGGGACUAAAUACGAUGUUGUUAAGGCGACGACUGAUGAGGUCGCUAAUCGUUUUACUUCAUACCGCGAUCUCGGUUGACGUAAUAUUUUUCCAGAGAUUUGUGAUUUGUUAUACUUUAUAGUGAAAUAGCGUAAACUGUAAAGUAAUACCCAGUGUUUAUUGCGUACUUACUCAAAAGUGAAACCUGUUGUCUUGUUUGGUGUUACUGUCGUUAACCAUGGAUCAGUAUAGUCAAGAGCCUGAAGCUGAUCUAUUAGAAAUAGGCAUUUCCUACAAUUCGGAUUACGUUGUGCCUAUUCCACAACCUCAAGUACAGAUCCAAGCAUUCAAAGCUCAAUCGAUUAUUAAACCUGUCGGCUGUCAAGGAGAGAAAACCGACCGAGUGGUUUUUUGAAACUUUGCUUGAUUUAUUACACACUACUAAUGAUGGUAGGUGUAUAUUCACGGACAGAAAAAUAAACGAAGGUUAUCUUUUAGAUGAUUGUCAUAAUACUUUAACAAAACAGAUUGUCAAUCAUUUGUUUCAAGAA